rnacentral:rRNA from 1 species
UACGUAGGGUGCGAGCGUUGUCCGGAAUUACUGGGCGUAAAGAGCUCGUAGGUGGUUGUCGCGUUGUUCGUGAAAACUCACAGCUCAACUGUGGGCGUGCGGGCGAUACGGGCAGACUGGAGUACUGCAGGGGAGACUGGAAUUCCUGGUGUAGCGGUGGAAUGCGCAGAUAUCAGGAGGAACACCAGUGGCGAAGGCGGGUCUCUGGACAGUUCCUGACACUGAGACACGAAGGCCAGGGGAGCAAACGGG